rnacentral:rRNA from 1 species
AUUGAACGCUGGCGGCAGGCCUAACACAUGCAAGUCGAGCGGUAGCAGGCCUUCGGGCGCUGACGAGCGGCGGACGGGUGAGGAACACGUAGGAAUUUGCCUAAUAGUGGGGGAUAGCCCAGAGAAAUUUGGAGUAAUACCGCAUACGCCCUGAGGGGGAAAGUGGGGGACCGCAAGGCCUCACGCUAUUAGAGAAGCCUGCGUCGGAUUAGCUAGUUGGUAGGGUAAAGGCCUACCAAGGCGACGAUCCGUAGCUGGUCUGAGAGGAUGAUCAGCCACACUGGGACUGAGACACGGCCCAGACUCCUACGGGAGGCAGCGGUGGGGAAUAUUGGACAAUGGGCGAAAGCCUGAUCCAGCCAUGCCGCGUGUGUGAAGAAGGCCUUCGGGUUGUAAAGCACUUUAAGUGGGGAGGAAAAGCGGUACGUGAAUAUCGUAUCGCCGUGACGUUACCCACAGAAUAAGCACCGGCAAACUCCGUGCCAGCCGCCGCAGUAAAAC